rfam:Pyronema omphalodes CBS 100304, CBS100304, WGS project CATG01000000 data, contig: Pcon_v1_contig775
GGUCGUAUGGUGUAGUGGUUAUCACGUUUCCUUUACAGUCUCGAACGCGUACGGAAAAGGCCGCAGGUUCAAUCCCUGCUACGAUCA